rnacentral:rRNA from 1 species
CCGGUGAAUACGUUCCCGGGCCUUGUACACACCGCCCGUCAAGCCAUGGAAGCUGGGGGUACCUGAAGUCGGUGACCGUAAGGAGCUGCCUAAGGGUAAAACUGGUAACUGGGGCU